GUCUCCAGUCAUACUACCUUGAAUGUAUCAGAUCUCUGAUCUCGGAAGUUAACUCGGAUCAGGCCUGGUUAGUACUUGGGUAGGAGAAUAGAAAACUAAGAUG
rnacentral:rRNA from 1 species